GGUACAUUCUGUCCACUUGCAAAAUACUUAUUAUCCUUGGCGCCGUGGCUAAGGACGGGAGCUAGUCCUAUCUUUAGUGACGACGUUAAGAUUUGCCAACACAUACUAAGAAUUUCAAAGUUUUAGAUUGGUGGAAGGUGGUUGGAACUCGGUUCCCAACUUUAAGAAAGAUUGUUACGGACAUAUUUACCAUUUCUGUUACAACAGUAGCUUCAGAGUCAGCUUUUAGCACUGGUGGUAGGGUUUUAAGUCAGCAUCACAGGAGGCUCACUACCAUGAUGUUGGAGGCCUUAAUGUGCUCUCAAGAUUGGCUGAGAAACAAGUAUAAAGUUGAUGAGAAAAACAAACAACCUGCAACCUUUUGGUCAUGUCUUCAAGACAUACAAGAGGGGCUUUAGGACAAUCUGAGGAUAAAUGAAGUGGCCAUGAGAUGGCCUCAUGGCGCCCUUUUGGUCAUAGGAACAAGACAAAUGAUGCAAGAAUUGGAUGAAGUGCAUGUGCUUCCUUUUGAUGCCUUAUCUGUUAAUUGCAUUUGUGAACUUUGUAACCUGUGUGGUAUGUCUUUAAUGCAUGGUAAAUGAAGCCAUGUGAACUUGUAAUAUUUUAUUGUGGUAUGUGAACUUGUAAUGGACUACGUGCUUAGGAGUUAGCUAUGUGCAACUGGAACUGGAAGGUUGAACUUGGAAAGUGGGAACUGGGAAGGCUGGAGCUUGGAACUUAUUUGCUACAUGUGCUACUAUUAAUUUAUAGUUUGCUGGAAUGAGCCAAUGAGAC